UACGUAGGGGGCAAGCGUUGUCCGGAAUCAUUGGGCGUAAAGAGCGUGUAGGCGGCUCGAUAAGUCUGCUGUGAAAGUCCAGGGCUCAACCCUGGAAGGCCGGUGGAAACUGUCGGGCUAGAGUCCGGAAGAGGCGAGUGGAAUUCCCGGUGUAGCGGUGAAAUGCGCAGAUAUCGGGAGGAACACCAAUGGCGAAGGCAGCUCGCUGGGACGGUACUGACGCUGAGACGCGAAAGCGUGGGGAGCAAACAGGAGUUAGAAACCCUUG
rnacentral:rRNA from 1 species